rnacentral:rRNA from 1 species
AGAACGAACGCUGGCGGCAUGCCUAAUACAUGCAAGUCGAACGAAGGCUUCGGCCUUAGUGGCGCACGGGUGCGUAACGCGUGGGAAUCUGCCCCUUGGUUCGGAAUAACAGUUGGAAACGACUGCUAAUACCGGAUGAUGACGAAAGUCCAAAGAUUUAUCGCCAAGGGAUGAGCCCGCGUAGGAUUAGCUAGUUGGUGAGGUAAAGGCUCACCAAGGCGACGAUCCUUAGCUGGUCUGAGAGGAUGAUCAGCCACACUGGGACUGAGACACGGCCCAGACUCCUACGGGAGGCAGCAGUGGGGAAUUUGACGAAUAGGCGCAAGCCUGAUCCAGCAAUGCCGCGUGCAGGAAGAAGG